UACGGCCACAUCACGUUGAAACAUUUGUUCCCGUAUGAUCAGCGAAGUUAAGCAACGUUGAGUCUGUUCAGUACUUAGAUGAGUGAAUUCUUGGGAAUACCAGGUCCUGCAAG